GGGUGCUUCAAUGGUAGAGCAUCUCCUUUACAUGCAGAAAGGCUCAGAUUCAAUCCCUGGCAGCUCCA